GAGAACCAUCGAGUUAGUGCUAGCAUAGAAUCUAACAAGAAAUGGCCCUGCAUCCAUUCUCUUUUCUUCUAAUAACAGCCCCAGAUUUCCAUUUUUGGACCUACCUUUUCCUUUUUAUCAGGCUAAGUGUUCAUGGUGGGGCUCUGUCCUUAGUUCCAGGGAUAAAGCCUGUGACCCAAACUUAAACCGCAGAUCAUUUUCCCCAGGCCAUGGAGAUUGUUUCAAAUGUGGGCACAUGGCCUGAAUGGGUCAUAUCAGAGUAAAUCUUAGGGCUUCUGGGUUAUGCCACCAUCACAGGCUCUUGCUUUCCUCACUGAACUUGAACCUAGACGGAUGUAAGCUGGAGCUGUGGCAGCCAUCAUUGCCCUGUGAAAAGUCCACUUGGAGCUGCCAAAGACCACCCCAGGAGCUUCAGAAUGAAGACAACCUGGAAGUCAGAGCUGACAGAAACCUCUUUACUUUUAGAAAUAAGGUGAAGUUAGCUUGAGGAAAGAGCUGUAAGGAAGAGUGAAGUCAGCUGAGUCAAGGACACAAGCGGAAAAUGUGCAAAGAUGAGCCAGAAGCAUGGAAAAGUACCUCCAAGACAGAGGAGAACUGAUCCAAGAGAAAGGAGAUGGGAGUGGGCAUCACGUACAGCCAGAGGGCGCCACCUGCCGAAAUGCCUCUUAUUGUUUACAUUAUGAAGUCUCAACUUGGAUGGAAGCCCAACUGCAACACGGCCUCCUAAAAUGAGACGCAACUGUUCAACUGAACUGUUCUCAGGACUAAAAGGCUGUGUCAAUAAGAUACGGGGAAUAUUUGUUCUUCUGUGUGUUCCGAUCCUUGUUUUUCUUUCCCUUCGUUGAUCUCUUGUUUCACAACUUCCAACCCAAAUCUGCUCACAGCUACUAACUUGGCUUUUAACAUAUGAAACUUUCUAAAAGUAAAGUUUCAAAUGGGGAAUGAAGAGGCUCAGAAUACACUACCCCAAAACAUGUCACUCAGAACACAUCAUCCCCAAAUAUGCCACUUUGGCAUCAGAAUUAUUUUAAACUAAAGGCACAUAAAAACAGGAGAUGCAAGAAGAUCACUCUGACCUUCACUGUUCUUUAAAAGCCAGAGAUGAAAUUCCCAUGUGAAAGGUGUUCUCCCUAAACCAAGAAGAAAGUAACAUUCUCAUCACAAAGGAUAGGAAGUUGAGGCUGAUAGGAAUCUAUACAAGCAUCCCUUAUGUUCCUAAUUACUUAUUUACCCAGUUAUUUACCCUAGCAUAAGCCCCUUUGCCUUGUUACAUUUUCACAAUUCAGGGCAUAAAUGUUUGACUCUAGCUGCUGCUUUGUGUCUUCAUUUCCUUAUGAAUGCUCUCCUGCCAUUAAAAAACUUGCAUUAAAUAAUUUAUAUACUUUUCUCCUGUUGAUUUGUCUUAUGUCUAUUUAAUUCUCCAGGCCCAGGCAACAAACAAACAAACAAGAAAACAAAACAAAAACAAAAAACCCCCAACAACAACAACAACAAAACCAUAAAAGAGGAGGGGCAAAUUUUUGCCUCCUCUUCUGCAUUUUUCACAUGCUUUAUCCUGUUUUCACUUCUUUACUUUCUGGCACUAUAAGGUGUUCCAGGCUCAUCUUAUAUUUAUUUUCCCUAUCCUAGCCCUGGAAUCAGCCACUUCUACACUUCUUGAAGGAGUCCUGGUUCCUUUCAUCAGGGAACGGCAUUUCGAAAUCAAGAUCUGAGUGCUGGCUGUGCUCAUUGCUACUGGUGUCACUGCUCAUAGUCUCCUCUCUCUCAGUGGGCAGAGCUAGGUAAUUCAUGUAUGUAUAACUGACCCAUAUAUGCACACAUAUUAUAUUUUUGUAUCUACUAAAAAUAAAUCAACCAUGAGUUCAUACUGAUAUUUCUAACUCCAGUCCAGCACCAGGAUUUAUUCUAGCAUUAUCUCUGCUUAUUUGUAACUUCUUUCUGACAAUGAGAAAAGUGGAUCCCAUAGCUUACACUAUAUUUAAUUAUUUUUGAGCCCAAGUAUACCAUAGGUUUAGGGUUGUUUGUGAAAAACGAAUUUACCAAUGAGAGUUUGUUGCUUCUGUACUGUUCUUCUUGUCUUUGGCCUGACACUCUCCAGUCAAAACAUUGCUUUACAAAGGCACUUAGGUCAGCUCGUUUCUUCCCUCCUAACUUCCGUAUGGUUAUGUUUUUUUAUUUGUAAUACGGUUAGAUUCAUUUUAGCAGUCCGCUUUUCAUCUUGGAUUUCCCCAAGAUCUCAGUUGAUUUUUUAAAAAUUUGUAUACAGCAAAGUUUACCCUUUGUGGUGUAUAGGUUUAUGGGAUUGAGAAAGGCAUAGAGUCACGUGUACAACAAGACAGUUUAACUCAGAACAAUUGGACUGCCCAAAAGUUUCCUAAUGAGGCCCUUUAGUGGGGCAUCAUUUCAUAGGACUCCCCCAACUCCAGGCAACCACGGAUUUGUUUUCUAUUUUUAUAAUUUUGCUUUUUCCAGAAUGCCAUAUAAAUAGAAUCAUUCAGUAUGUAACAUUUUGGAUUUUCUCUCAUUUAGCAAAAAGAAUUUCAGAUUCAUUCAUGUGUUGUGGGUUGAUACUUUUUAUUGCUGAAUGGUAUCCCAUUGUCUGGAUAUACACAGACUUACUUACCCUUUCAUCUGUGAAAGACAGCUGAACUAUUUCUAGCUUUGGUAAUGAAUAAAGCUGCUAUAAACAUUCAGGGCCAGGCACAGUGGCUCACGCUUAUAAUCCCAGUACUUUGG